UAGAAAAUUUAGAGGUAACUGAUCGUUUCCAAUUGAAAUAUACUAAAUCAGUUUUCGGACUAAAGCAAUCUACACCAUCUUGUUCAGCUAGGAAUAUUGCGUUUGUCAUUGCAAAUUAAGUCUAGAGUUUUGGGCUGGGUUUCAUGGAGAGUCCUAAGUCUUAAGUAUGCCCUAAAAUGAAAAUUGAGACAAUUUUGCGUUUCAAAGAAAGUCUUAAAAAGGUCCUAACUUAUGACUCCUAAAUUUUUUACCAAAAACAGUCCUAAAUCUAGGAGUGUUUUAAAGGUAUCUUAAGAUUUUCCCAAGUCAAAACCACUCAAACUCAAACACAGCAGCGUUCAUGGUAGUAUUUUAAAGACGGGGGCCCUGUGCCGGGGGGACAAGUCACAGGCGCUGGACGUUGAUACUGACGAGGAGUUGAUAAGUCGAUACUGUACACAUUUCCAAGGAAUUGAUCAUGCAAAUCACCGAAUUAGUGACAGGGGAUAUUGAGAAUUAUUUAAUUUUACCCAUGAAAUAUAGUGCUAUAUAAGCCUAUCAGUCAAAUAUAUUUCGUAUUUGUUAAAAAAUAAAUAUGAAAUAUAAAUAUGAAAGUGGGCGGAGUCAAAACUCAUAAUUAUUUCAAAGGACUUCUUUCGCCAUUUUGUUUGAAAAGAAAAACAAAACUUUUUGUUGAAUUUCGUUUUGAAAACUGUCUAGAAUGAUAGAAAAUGGUCUAACUAAGAAAAUAAAUUCUACAAUUGCAGUUGAGUAGCAAGCAAGGAGAUUCGUCACCAUUGUCUUUGAUAAUGAAAUAAAAUAAAAAGGUUAUUUUUUCGUUUCUCGUGAAAUAUGGUAUAUAUAUUUUCAGUCAGCAUGAUAAAAUCUUUAUAUCUAUUAUGUCAAGAGAGCAACACAUUACUAACUUGCUAUAAUCAAUUGCAUAGAAAAUCCAAUCCGGGAUUAUGCGCGUGAAAUUGUAUUUUGUAACUUUUUUUCAGGAGAGCGAAUCGGUCAUGAAUCUUAAGUUUACGACAAAAGAUAGGACAGUUACUUGAAACGGUCUUAAGUGCAAAAACUUUUUCUCCUAGAAUUGGUCAUAAGUCCUAGGAUUUAGGAUUAACUGAGGACUCUCCAUGAAACGCAGCCCAGCUAUUGAGGCAAAUUGAUUUAUGAUAAAAAAAGAUAAAAUUUGUUCUAUGCUAUAUUUCAUGUCAAAGAAAUUAUACUUUGAUUUUGAUGUGGAUUUUCCUUGGUUGAAAUGUGUGCAUACUUCUUUAGAUUCUCUCGUUUUGUCAAGUUAUUGAAUUUUUCAAACAUUCAAUUUUGUCCCUCAUUUUAAGAAAAUCAUUUCUGUUAGAAUUAAGUAUCAGUUUAUUCAUGGUUGGCAAACUUCUAUUUAUGAAUCCAGUAAAUGUCUGAAUUAUAAUUUUUUUUUAAACUCGACAUGGCUUUUAAAAAUACUUUAACAUUUUACCAUCAGAUUUAGCAAUUUAGAUGUAUGAAACACAAAAUGCCAAUUGAAACAGGUAGAUUUUUUUAAUUUGGAUAGAAGUCUAAAAGUGUGUAGUUCAUGUUCUGAUAAUCUGUUGGGUGACGAAUUUCAUUAUUUAUUUAAUUGUUCCUUUUUUCAAUACCUGACGACAAGUCGUAUUUUCAUAGACCAACAUUGUUAAAUUUGAUGCAAAAAUCUUUUACUCAAUCUAGCAAUAUUUUAUAAGAAAAUUAUCUUUAUUCUUAAUAAUACAUAUUGACAUAAAUUUUCUUUUUGAUCUCAUUCUCUGAUUCUAAUUUUUUACAUUUUGUACAUGUAUUAUUUUUAUCUAUUUAAUUUGUUUUUCUUAUAUACAUAUGUUCAUAGCAUUGGCAUGGUUUCAUUUUAAUAUAUGUCAUUUUACUUUGUUUUGUAAUAAUUUGUUAUAUUCUUGUUUUCUCACAUGCACAGUUGGGCCUUGAGAUACCAAUAAAACGUGUUUUUUUUUGCUUAUUGAGUGUUACGACAUGUCAGUAUAUAGUACGUUGUGAAAUUGCAAUGGUUACAUUAGAUUAAAUAGCGUUAUAAAUUUCAGUUAUCUUUUGUUGGUAGUUUAAGUUUUUAGUUCACGUUUUUCUUCUGAUGGGACAUUAAGGAAAGGAUUUUAGGAACAGAAUAAAUACAACAAUGACGGCAAAAGUGAUAUUACUCCUACCAGUGGUGUACGUAGUUUUGUGGACCGCAGAAACUAAAACGGUGUCGGUAUCAACAAAAAUUGGAGUCAUUAACGGACAAG